rnacentral:rRNA from 1 species
GAUGAACGCUGGCGGCGUGCCUAAUACAUGCAAGUCGAGCGAACGGACGAGAAGCUUGCUUCUCUGAUGUUAGCGGCGGACGGGUGAGUAACACGUGGAUAACCUACCUAUAAGACUGGGAUAACUUCGGGAAACCGGAGCUAAUACCGGAUAAUAUUUUGAACCGCAUGGUUCAAAAGUGAAAGACGGUCUUGCUGUCACUUAUAGAUGGAUCCGCGCUGCAUUAGCUAGUUGGUAAGGUAACGGCUUACCAAGGCAACGAUGCAUAGCCGACCUGAGAGGGUGAUCGGCCACACUGGAACUGAGACACGGUCCAGACUCCUACGGGAGGCAGCAGUAGGGAAUCUGACGCAAUGGGCGAAAGCCUGACGGAGCAACGCCGCGUGAGUGAUGAAGGUCUUCGGAUCGUAAAACUCUGUUAUUAGGGAAGAACAGAUGUGUAAGUAACUGUGCACAUCUUGACGGUACCUAAUCAGAAAGCAACGGCUAACUACGUG